rnacentral:tRNA from 1 species
AGGUGUAUAGCUCAGAGGUAGAGUGUGUGCUGAGAAUGCACAAGGUCCUGGGUUCAAUCCCCAGUUCCUCCA